rnacentral:rRNA from 1 species
CAAGUCCUCAUGGCCCUUAUGGGCUGGGCUACACACGUGCUACAAUGGCGCAUACAGAGUGCUGCGAACUCGCGAGAGUAAGCGAAUCACUUAAAGUGCGUCGUAGUCCGGAUUGGAGUCUGCAACUCGACUCCAUGAAGUUGGAAUCGCUAGUAAUCGCGUAUCAGCAAUGACGCGGUGAAUACGUUCCCGGACCUUGUACACACCGCCCGUCAAGCCAUGGAAGCUGGGGGUGCCUGAAGUCGGUAACCGCAAGGAGCUGCCUAGGGCAAAACUAGUAACUGGGGCUAAGUCGGAACAAGGUAGCCG